rnacentral:rRNA from 1 species
CAGUCGCCGCGGGAAUACGAAGGGUGCAAGCGUUAAUCGGAAUUACUGGGCGUAAAGCGUGCGUAGGCGGUGAGUUAAGUCUGCUGUGAAAUCCCCGGGCUCAACCUGGGAAUGGCAGUGGAUACUGGCUCGCUAGAGUGUGUCAGAGGAUGGUGGAAUUCCCGGUGUAGCGGUGAAAUGCGUAGAGAUCGGGAGGAAUAUCAGUGGCGAAGGCGGCCAUCUGGGACAACACUGACGCUGAGGCACGAAAGCGUGGGGGGCAAACAGGAUUAGAUACCCGAGUAGUCCCUGUCUCUUAUAC